AGGCCUGUAACCCUAAGUAAAGCCCUGUUCUUACUGAAACACUGUCACAAAGGCCAUCAGAAGAGCAGAGGGAGAGGCUGCGACCAAAGCAGAGAAGGAGGCGAGAGCCUGGAAGAAAAAGAAUCUACAGUUCAAGACCGAAGCCACCUGAACCAGGCAGGCUCCUCAAGCUCAGGGAGGUCUCCCUGCACGAGCUUCUUGGCGACAGAGAAGGUGCCAGCUCUCUCCGAGGGCCUUUUCACCCGUUUCCGCGUUGUGGGGGCUACGAGCGGCCAGGCAAGUGAGGACGAUGAUGCCGGACUUUUCCAAUGGCCACACACAGUCAGUGGUGAGGCGGAGAGGCCGGCGGCCGUGGCAGCCGUGAGGGCAGCCCCCGGGGCCGGGGCGCCUGGCACGCGCCCCUGAAGUUCAUGGCCCAGCGCACGGCCGGCCGGGCACGGCUCUGCGGGCAGUAACGCCUGGCCGAGUGUGACGGGCGAACGGUGGCGAGGCCUAGCUUAGACAGAGUGAAGGGACUUCUCAGCGCCCUUGGGGUGUUGAUGAACAGUGUGAAGCACCCAGGCGGGGAUACAGCACCCAGGCGGGGAUACAGCACCCGGCAUUUCCCAAGCUUGUUCCACCCCAGCGGGAAUGCCAGUAUCUUCCUGAGCAGUGUUCCUCGCAUGCCGGUUUGGGAAACACGCCUACUGCUGUGCAGGAGACACCUAGGCCGGGAACUUACAUGGACUUCAUGGAUCCUUUUCAAAGUCACCUUCUCCCCACUGGCGGUCUCCAUGUGGUUAGAUGAAGAGACGAAACCUGCAGGAAAAAGGAAAGAAAAUAAGCCCUUGAGGCCUCAAAGAGGAAGGAGAUGGAGAUUCCACUGGUUUCCUAAGGAAAGAAAGCUGGAAGGCUGGAAGCUUUCCCACAGACACUGAAGCAAAGAGACAGGGUAACCGGGAUGAACUUGGCCGCACAGGACAGGAGAGUGCCAAAAUCUUCAAGCAGAUCACGAAUCACGGACAAAUGCAGUUAGGAGCCAGAGUCAGGAUGCCCAGGACCAGUCCCCGGGGGAGAACCCCCUAUCCUAAGCAAGCACAGGCCUUGCUCAGCCUGUGCGUGAAGGUAAGACCCAGUCUGGGCUGGCGUCCUGGCUGGCAGAGGUCACAAGCAGUGGACACGGGGCCGCAGACUCACGUGUCACCUCUCCGUGGCAGAAAAGGACCCCCAUGGACUGGACCUUUCGCCGAAGCCCCUGGAGCAGACACCAGGGGUCAAACCAACCUUCGUUCUCCAACCCUGUGAGGAGAAAGAGGACGCGUGAAGGUGGGCUAGGACCCUCCUCUCCUGUUGUCUCUCCUGCACCCCUAACUCUUCUUUAGGGCUCGUAAGCUGGGGAGUCACACUGACCAACUGCACCAGAGUCAGAUCCUGCGGAAGGACAGAGAGCCGGCCUGGCCCGGGGGAGGCCCUGCCAGCCAGGAGGGAAGCAUUCCUCCUGGACUUGGCUGUGGGGUGCUGAGACUCGUAACCUGAGGUGCCGCUCAACCCCUGACGCCCUCUGCAAGCAAGCCUCACCAUAAGAUGCCAAAGCCACUCCCUCUGUGUUUAUCCAGGGAAACUUCUUCCGAAGCUGCUCCGGAGACAUCAGACAAACUUUGGCUCCUUCUUGCCUGGAGAAAUGUGUGGGUCUACGUAUGUGUGCUGGGGCGGGUCACUCUGUUCCCUCCACUCCUUCUGCCCAGGACAGCCUUCCCGUCCACCUCCUAGAACAAUCCUGCUCACCAGCACAACUGUCUCCUUCUGGGACCCUCAUGCCCAAAGGCAGCAUUGUAUGCGCUAAAAGGACACACUCACAAGCCAGACUGCCUGGUUCAAGUCCCAGCGCCACCGCUUACUAGCUCUGGGGGCCUCAGUUUUCCCACAUGUAAAAUGGGCAUGUUCUGAUGAUUAA